GAUGAACGCUGGCGGCGUGCCUAAUACAUGCAAGUCGAGCGAACGGACGAGAAGCUUGCUUCUCUGAUGUUAGCGGCGGACGGGUGAGUAACACGUGGAUAACCUACCUAUAAGACUGGGAUAACUUCGGGAAACCGGAGCUAAUACCGGAUAAUAUUUUGAACCGCAUGGUUCAAAAGUGAAAGACGGUCUUGCUGUCACUUAUAGAUGGAUCCGCGCUGCAUUAGCUAGUUGGUAAGGUAACGGCCUACCAAGGCAACGAUGCAUAGCCGAACUGAGAGGGUGAUCGGCCACACUGGAACUGAGACACGCUCCAGACUCCUACGGGAGGCAGCAGUAGGGAAUCUUCCGCAAUGGGCGAAGGCCUGGCGGAGCAACGCCGAGUGAGUGAUGAAGGUCUUCGGAUCGUAAAACUCUGUUAUUAGGGAAGAACAUAUGUGUAAGUAACUGUGCACAUCUUGACGGUACCUAAUCAGAAAGCCACGGCUAACUACGUG
rnacentral:rRNA from 1 species